rnacentral:rRNA from 1 species
GUAUCAAUAAGCGGAGGAAAAGAAACCAACAGGGACUGCCCUAGUAACGGCGAGUGAAGCGGCAACAGCUCAAAUUUGAAAUCUGGCCCUAGGCCCGAGUUGUAAUUUGUAGAGGAUGCUUUUGGUGCGGCGCCUUCUGAGUUCCCUGGAACGGGACGCCAUAGAGGGUGAGAGCCCCGUAUAGAUGGACGCCUAGCCUCUGUAAAGCUCCUUCGACGAGUCGAGUAGUUUGGGAAUGCUGCCAUCGAAAGUGGAAGU